rnacentral:rRNA from 1 species
CAGAACGAACGCUGGCGGCGUGCUUAACACAUGCAAGUCGAACGCGAAAGGGACUUCGGUCCUGAGUAAAGUGGCGCACGGGUGAGUAACGCGUAGAUAACCUGUCUUCAUGUCUGGAAUAAUACGCCGAAAGGGGUACUAAUACCGGAUAUUCUUGCUUUUCAUAAGUUAUGCAAGCAAAGGUGGCCUCUGCAUAUGCUACUGCAUGAAGAGGGGUCUGCGUACCAUUAGCUAGUAGGUGGGGUAAUGGCCUACCUAGGCGACGAUGGUUAGCGGGUCUGAGAGGAUGAUCCGCCACACUGGCACUGGAACACGGGCCAGACUCCUACGGGAGGCAGCAGUGAGGAAUAUUGCGCAAUGGGGGAAACCCUGACGCAGCGACGCCGCGUGAGUGAGGAAGGCCUUCGGGUCGUAAAGCUCUGUCAAGAGGAAAGAAGUGUACAAUGGCUAAUACCUGUUGUAUUUGACGGUACCUCUAAAGGAAGCACCGGCUAACUCCGUGCCAGCAGCUGC